rnacentral:lncRNA from 1 species
UAGAACAUACUUUCUGCAUGAAGAUGGGGAAAAUAGGUGGAAGGAUGUAAUUCGCAUCCUCAACACUUGUUUUCUGGGAAGAAACAAGGAAUGUAAAGGUCAUGUACUGACAUUGUGGAGAUCUCCUAAAAUUCAGUGAAAUAAAAGACGAAACUACCAUUAAUUUUACCAUCCAGACUGCACCAAAAUGUUAACAAUACUGUUUUCUCUCCUAUUAAUAAACCUGUAAUAUUUGUAAUAUUCCUUUUGAUAGUCCACUAUUUAUCCUACAUGAUCUAUAACAUAAGAAUAAAUAAAAACAU